UCAACUCUCUUAAUACUCUCUCAAAUCCGCCUCUCUUGAGAUCGUCUCUCCCAAAAUUCUCUGCCCAAAUCUCAAAUUUGUUAUCUCUUCCAUUCCAGGAAAAGGAUCUUGGAAGGCUGAUAACACAGACUGAGGCUUUCAAGGCUACAGACAUAAUGAGGAAAAAAAAUUGGAGAUCCUGAUGUGUGAUCCAUGAGCUCAACUGACCUAUAGAUGUGACUGAGGAGCCCAACAAUGAUGAAAAUGAUGAGGAUUUUUGUGUGGACAAUGCACCGCC